UUUGCGACCCGGCUUGAGCGGAAAUCCUUUUUUUUGCGUCGGGAAAGACAGGCAAAAAAGAUUGAGAGCGGAAGACGGAAUUUGUC
rnacentral:sRNA from 1 species